CUGAGAAGUAGACCCUCACAUGGCCAGCCCCACUAUCUUGGUAUGGCUUGCAUCACGUGGCCUCACAGCCCUGGUGAUGUUCAGUUGACCAAGAUGGAAAUGGACAAUGCUUAAGAAACAGAUAAUGUCAUUAGCACUGUAUAAGCCUUGUCCAGGGUUACAGCAUUACCAAAAUGCUUCACAAGUUUGUGUAAGCAUCUUGGAAGUUGUUACCACUGUGUUUGUCUACGGAGUCUCGGUUCUACGUCCUUGAGACAUGAAAUCUGAGAUUGAAUACUAUGCUAUGUUGGCAAAGACUGGUGUCCAUCAUUACUCUGGCAACAACAUUGAGCUUGGAACAGCAUGUGGUAAAUACUUCAGGGUCUGCUCUCUGGCCA